AAGAAGAAGUGUUACAUGAUAGGUAGUACAUGAUAAGUGUUACAUGAGGAAGAAGAAGUGUUACAUGAUAGGUAGUACAUGAUAAGUGUUACAUGAGGAAGAAGAAGUGUUACAUGAUAGGUAGUACAUGAUAAGUGUUACAUGAGGAAGAAGAAGUGUUACAUGAUAGGUAGUACAUGAUAAGUGUUACAUGACAUUAGUAGUACAUGAGGAAGAAGAAGUGUUACAUGAUAGGUAGUACAUGAUAAGUGUUACAUGAGGAAGAAGAAGUGUUACAUGAUAGGUAGUACAUGAUAAGUGUUACAUGAGGAAGAAGAAGUGUUACAUGAUAGGUAGUACAUGAUAAGUGUUACAUGAGGAAGAAGAAGUGUUACAUGAUAGGUAGUACAUGAUAAGUGUUACAUGAGGAAGAAGAAGUGUUACAUGAUAGGUAGUACAUGAUAAGUGUUACAUGAGGAAGAAGAAGUGUUACAUGAUAGGUAGUACAUGAUAAGUGUUACAUGAGGAAGAAGAAGUGUUACAUGAUAGGUAGUACAUGAUAAGUGUUACAUGAGGAAGAAGAAGUGUUACAUGAUAGGUAGUACAUGAUAAGUGUUACAUGACAU